CCUACGGGAGGCAGCAGUGAGGGAUAUUGCGCAAUGGGCGAAAGCCUGACGCAGCGACGCCGCGUGGGCGAAGAAGGCCUUCGGGUUGUAAAGCCCUUUUCCACCUGACGAGAGCGGACGGUAAGGUGGGAAUCAGUCACGGCUAACUACGUGCCAGCAGCCGCGGUAAAACGUAGGUGGCGAGCGUUAUCCGGAAUCACUGGGCGUAAAGGGCGUUUAGGCGGCCGGGCAAGUCGUGCGUGAAAGCUCCCGGCUCAACUGGGAGAGGCCGUACGAGACUGCCGGGCUUGAGGGUCGGAGAGGGACGUGGAAUUCCCGGUGUAGCGGUGAAAUGCGUAGAUAUCUGGAAGAACGCCAAAGGCGAAGGCAGGUUUCUGGGCCUUUACUGACGCUGAGACGCGAAAGCUAGGGGAGCAAACAGGAUUAGAUCCCCCUGUAGU
rnacentral:rRNA from 1 species